UCCUCAACUGGGGGAUGACUUCAUCUUUAGGCUGUGUGGCUUCCCUGGAAAUAUUCUCAAGUAAAGAAACUUGAGGUCAGAUUUUGGAGGAAGAGAAGAAAGUAAGAGAAGCAGGCAGAAAGCUGGUACAUUGGUCUGAGAGACAUGGUGAGGGUCUCAGCCAGACAGGAGCCUCUUCCCAAUUCUUGCUGCCUACUUUGUGGGCUCCAAAGAGGGACACCCUAGGCCAUCUCCAGGAGGGCAUCAUCAGUCACAGUCUUGAUCCGGAUUGUCCACUGACGCCAGGCACGGACUUGGAGUAUUUCUGUAUACUUUGCUCUUUUCUCCUCCUGGGAGCCAUCAUAAAGUCAGCCAGGCAGACUCAAAGCCAUGUCACUGUGCACACAGACUUUAAGCUCCAAAGGACUGACUUGAGACCCUGGUCUUGUGCUGAUAGCCCUGAGAUCUAAGGGUGCUGCCUAGAAUCUUACACACACCCAGCUGCUGUUUCCAGCCACCACUUGAGGCCAGAAGAGCCUUUCCUCCCCAUUCCUAAGUGACUCAGCUUCUGUACAAUGACUGGAGGCCAUCUGGACAGUAUCCAGGAGGACUUGGUGGCUCUUCACAAGCUCUCAGUGUGAGCUUCAGGAAGCAUCUGCGAGUAUGGAAGCUCACGUGUGCAAUCAAAGGCUUGGGGUCCGUGACAUUGUGGCUGCCUGCUGAGUGGUCGCACUGCGCUCGUUCCCUGACCUGUGACCUGUAGUGAGAAUUUUGGCUUCUUUAAAAAACACAGAACUAUUAUAAGAAUGCGGUUUUUGUUUUAAUCCCAGGUGUGGAAUGCGAGGCUCCUUCCAAUCGUCCCACAGUAGCUGACUGUGGUUUGCCUCAUGCUCUGGCAGAGGUGGGAUUUUGCCAGCUGCAGAUAGUUUCUGCAAGUGUGUGAUGUUUGGAAUUCUGGGGGCUCUUUAGAGGGUAAAUACUUGGGUCCCAAGAGCUGGGAAACUGUUGAUUGGUAGCAGAAUGCCGUUGGUUUCUGUUGGUCACAGUUUGCUAAGUAGUUGUAAGCAAAGAAAAAGAAAGAAGAAAUCAGAUAUCCGGAUGGCAAAGAUCAAACUUGCCCCCAAGGAACUUGAUGCCCUUAGUUAACAGGAAGUGUUCUAAUGAUAUUGUGGACUCUUUCUUCUCUUAUCCUUUUUUUCUCUCCUACGUAAUGUUAGGGGAUUGAAAGGGAAGAAGUAAAGGGAUGGAGAAGGGUGGGAGAAAGAAGAACCCACAAAGUAGCCAGAAGAACAGCUACAGUGACCUCAGACAUAUCUUAAUCCAGGUGACCUCUGAAGAUAUGCGAGAGCUGCCAAGGAAGAAGGAGGUGAGAGUAUCAGUCCCUGGUACCCUUUCCCAACAUGCCCAGCUCCCCACGACUCCGAGUUCCUUUGUGCCCUCUCCACCUUCCUAUGGUUGUUACAUGUGCUUUUAGCUGUGGAAACAGAGGCUCACAGGGCAGAGUUAGCAUUGGAUGCUAUGUAGCCACCCAAGGCCAUUCUGUGCUGUGUCCACAGGACUCUGGAGCCUGGAGGAGGAGGCUGUGCUGAGUCCUGGUUUCUAGAGGUGUGCAGGCAGGAUUAACCAUAGCCCAGGAAGGCGGGAGGCAGAUGUAGAAAUCAGAGGCCAAAGAACCACCCACCCUCUGCCCUUGGGACUCUGGCAGCGACUCUGAACUGUGUAAUACCAGCCCCUGCCCACGCAGCUGCUGAGAUGAGUGGCCGUGCGUGCACCUUUGACCUGGUGAUCUUUAACUUGGUGACUCAGCCUGGGAGCUGGAGCACCGUGAUGAACACGCUGACAGAUUGAAGCCUGCCUUUGUGACAAGUCUUUUUAUACAUUGAAAUUUAGCUGGCCAUGGAAGUACACAUGUGUAAUCCCAGUACUCAAGAGGUAGAGGCAGGAUUCAUCCCAUAAUCAGCCACCAAA